UGGAAACGUUCAAAUUUGGUUAAAUGAAUUUGAAAUCUAGGUUAAUGAAUUAAAUCAAAACAGAAAAAAAUAUGAAAUUAAUGAAAAAUUGUGGAACUAACUAUAAGUUUUAUUAUCUCAAAUAAUCAAUUAUUGUGUGAUAUUAAAUUCAAAUUCAAUAUCACCUAUACCAAACGGUGCCUUUAUAGAUUGGAUAAAUUAACGUCUAUGAAAUAUGUGUGUUGCCUGUGCGGGUAGUGGCAGCCUAGUUUGCUCCUUGGUGCCAUGAAUUUGACUAUAAAUUCCCGUAACUAAAUGUCUUUAGUCACUCAAUCUCAGGAAAUUGGAAUUUUAUGUGACUAAAGGUCCUUUUUCUUGUGGUGAUUGGAAUGACAUGUAUGGGUUAAUAUGAAUAUGAAACACUGGUUGAAUUUGUAACGGUAUUAUUUACCUGAUCGGGCUGUAAACAGUAAUCCCGGCGCAUAGCAAAGGAGCGGCCGCGUCCAUAGGGAUGGUGUCCGGGAUUCGGACCACAAAGUGCUCGUCGCAGACCAUGGUGUCGGAGUAGCCUCCGUAGGUCGUCGUGGGGACGAGGUUAGCGGGCGCGGAGUAUGUUAGGACGAAAUCGGGGCAGUAGUUCUCGAGGUCGUUGGAGCAGUUGUAGCAGUUGCGGCAUGAUCCGACCAUGCAACCGACGCCCACCCGGUCCCCGACUUUGAAUUUCUCGACAUUGUUCCCGACUUG
rnacentral:lncRNA from 1 species